rnacentral:rRNA from 1 species
GACGAACGCUGGCGGCGUGCUUAACACAUGCCAGUCGAACGAAGUGGCGAACGGGUGAGUAACGCGUAAUCAACCUGCCCUUCAGAGGGGGACAACAGUUGGAAACGACUGCUAAUAACGCAUACUGAAGGAGGGGAUUUGGUCGGCUUAGCUAGUUGGAGGGGUAACGGCCCACCACGGCGAUGAUCAGUAGCCGGUCUGAGAGGAUGAACGGCCAAAUUGGGACUGAGACACGGCCCAGACGCCUACGGGAGGCAGCAGUGGGGAAUCUUCCGCAAUGGACGAAAGUCUGACGGAGCAACGCCGCGUGAGUGAUGACGGCCUUCGGGUUGUAAAGCUCUGUUAAUCGGGACGCGGUACCGGAAUAGAAAGCCACGGCUAACUACGUGCCAGCAGCCGCGGUAAUUC